UAGUGCUUUACAUUAGUUUAUGUGCCUAUCACAGAUGAAACGCCAUUUCAUGGGAAAUCUCUCCCUCACGACCAAAGGAAAAACAGAUCUGGGAAGCCAAGCGCACACCGCCGGUUUGUCUCAGACUCCUGUGAGUUUCCUUAGCGGUGGCUCCGUUUGGAUAGCGUCGGUCUCCUCUGAGUGACGGCGAUGCUGGUUUUGUGGGGUUAGAGCUGUUGGGUUUUGUUCAUGAGUGAUGACGGCUAGGGUUUCCGCUGGUCAGAUCUUUGUUUCCGGGAGUGAGAGCAGGCGUAUCUCACUAAUCUACGACAUCUAACUCAGAUUUCAGUCGGGUCUUUAUCAUUUUGCUAUAUCCGGGUCAGUUCCUUGGAGGUGUUGAUGAGUUAGGCCACUGCAUGCAUCUCUCUAUUUAGAUCUACCAGUUGGUGUGGUUUUAGCCAUUGGUUUAAGGCUCUGGUAGGGAGUAGAGAGAAUGGGUCGCGGUCUUAUCAACUUUGAUCAUCAUUCCUCAGUGGCAGCGUGUUUCAGCUCUCGUGUCAUUGGAGUUUUUGCGGUAGGUUGUUAUUCACCUAUUUGGGCUUUAUGAGAUGCUGGAUGGAAGCAUAUCCUCUUUUUGAAUUCUCAUUGGUGUGGUGAGCGUAGUCAUCAUCCUCUGAAAAAAUAAAAGCUUUAGUAACUAGCCAAGACAGAGGAGAUUUCUAGGUAGUAGGUUUGGUCGGUGGGGAAAAAAUUGAACAAUUGUCUUGAUCUGAAUCCUGUGGUGGAUUUCCUCGGGGGAUUAUGCUCAGACCGGUCUGACUUUUUAUUUUGGGUUUUAAUAGAAAUGACAAUGCCUAACUAGUAGCAGAAAUGCAGUCUGGUUAAUGCAGAUCGCAGAAACUUUGACUCCAUUUGACUCAACCAGUAAUGACAGAAAUGACAAAGCCUAACUAGUAGCAGAAAUGACAAAGCCUAACUACUAGUUAAGCUUUCUCUCUCUCCUCUCUCCCAAGCGACCAAGCGAACAAGUAAACAACAAAUCUCCGCCACGUUUUGCUCCGGCGUACGGAGGCUUCGGACCCGCGUCCGGUGCACGUUAACUCCAACGCCGGAGGCUUGUCUCUAAUCCUUCUUCUACGAUUUCCCCUUUGUUCUUCCGUCGCUUCUUCAUCCCUUUCGCUUUGCUUGUGUUUUGUGUGUCUGAAGCUUUCCUGGAGGCAACUUCGCUGCAGAGAAGAUACGUGCUGGUGCGAGUCUUUUAGGCAUGAAGCUACGGCGCGUUGGGGUCUGGCGGUGCAGGCGGAGGAGUCGGCGUUUAGGGUUAUGGAGGUGAUACCUUUAGCUACUUCCAGAUUUGGUCGCCCGUGGAGGCGUACGGCUGGUUACUUUCUCAGAUCUGGUUCUCGAUCUACUCGAUUUGAGAUCCAUUGGUCUGAGGCGUAGCGGCGGUGAUGGAGGUUCCGUGCUCUACCCUCGGCGUCUUGGUUAGGGUAGGUUCUUCUUCGUCUCCGCCAUAGGUGUUUUGGAGCUCCGUUUAGCUCGAUUGCGGGUUUUAUCCAAAGGUGGUGGUGUGUGCCUCUACUUGCAGUGGUGGCUCGUGGAAAAACCUUUAGCGUGAUUUUGGUAUUGGUCGUCUAUGGCCGUACUGAUGCGUUGUUGUUACCUCCCUCCUAUCUGGCCUCUCUUCCCGGCGUGUGUUCUGGUCCGUCCUUGAACCUGUGUCGACUGGUUUCUAUGGAUCUCUACUCGUGUUUGUAGUGUUAUGAUUGCUCUGUAGCUACCGGAAGUAUUCUUGACGUUUGUAACCUUUCGUCCUUAGGUGCUCCAAGGCGACGGUUGGUGACGGUCGUGAAGUUCUUGCUUGGUCAAUAGGUCUUCAUGGUUCCGUCGGUGGCUCCAUCCGGUGCUGUGCACAUCCCAGUGCCUUGGCCUCCUCUUUGAUGCCAUGGUAGUGUUAGCGGCUCUUGCUUUCUUUCAGGUCUCCGAGCAGGUUCUGGUUCAUGCGCUGCGGCCAUCUCGUUCCUGACUUCUUGUUUUUCCGUUCUUGGUAUGGAGAUCUCUGUAUCUCUUGGCCUUGACCGGGUUGGCGCUGAUGAAGUUUGUAUAGCGGGAAUUGGAUCCAUUUUCAGGUUUGUGCUCUAAUUCCCUUCUUCGUUAGCGUUUGCGCGUAAGAAGGUAACGGUUAUAAGUUUCGAGGAGAUCAUCGAGACCUAGCUACUCCAAAAGGCGACACGGAAACUCCUGGCAUCCGAGGCAACGAGGAGAACCUCACUUUCUCUUGAUUAUCGUUGAUGGAAGAGAACAGGAAUCGAUUUCUAAUGUUUACUAAAAGCAUAUUAGCGGAACGUGUCGGGUUUAGUGGGUGGGCGAAGCUAGUUUGUAAUUCGUUAGACUAGGAAACUUUUGUUUGAAUCGAGUUUGUAACCGAAACUUAUUCCCGUUUUUCGGGCUGAUUUAUAAUAUAUGUUAUUUGAAAAAAAAAAUGGUAAUUAAUUUUAACAUGUUUACCGAAUAAAGAAAUUCAUUUCAUGAUGCACCGUAAUGUCUUAAAGCCACUCCAGUAGUAAACUUUGACUCAGCCAGUAAUGCAGUCUGGUUAAUUAUAAAAACGUAUCGUUCUUUUCCUGUUUGC